GAUGAACGCUGGCGGCGUGYUUAACACAUGCAAGUSGAACGGGGAACAAAUUAUUGAAGCUUCGGCAGAUCUAGCUUGUUCCUAGUGGCGGACGGGUGAGUAACGCGKGGGUAACCUGCCUCACACUGGGGGAUAACAGUCAGAAAUGGCUGCUAAUACCGCAUAAGCGCAUAGUACCGCAUGGUACAGUGUGAAAAACUCCGGUGGUGUGAGAUGGACCCGCGUUGGAUUAGCUAGUUGGCAGGGCAGCGGCCUACCAAGGCGACGAUCCAUAGCCGGCCUGAGAGGGUGAACGGCCACAUUGGGACUGAGACACGGCCCAGACUCCUACGGGAGGCAGCAGUGGGGAAUAUUGCACAAUGGGGGAAACCCUGAUGCAGCGACGCCGCGUGAAGGAAGAAGUAUCUCGGUA
rnacentral:rRNA from 1 species